GUUGAAGUGAAAAGUUGGAGCGGUUUUAUGGUUUUAUCCGCAGCAGAGGGCAGAAAUGAUAAGCCUGAAAUGCGGGAUUAUGUUCACGUGUAUUUCCUCCACAUUCUCCCACAUUCUCCCACAAGGCUCCACAUCCACAGCAACCCAGACCAGGAUCAAGCACUUACUGAAAAUGAGUGAAAGAUGUCAGCGCUUUGUAACACUCAGAAGUUUUCUGAUAUGGGAAAGUAUUCAGGACAAAGGAGUUUCCAGUUACUCAGGACACAGGACAAGCUAAAAAAAAUUUGUUGUAUUAACUUCAAGAGAGAGGAAAGAAAGACACUGGUGAGAUUACAACUGAUUAUAGUUGCUAUAAUGUAAAUGAUACCGGGAAAUAACUUGUUUUGUGGAUGUCGUUUCACAACAUAAAAUAUAACUACAGAUGGACAAAAUGCAUGAUGAUUCUUUAUACAAGCAUGUAAUCAUUGGCAAAUCACUGUAUAAGAGGAACAUCCUGUUUUAGGGAAACAAUCAACCUCGGGGAGGUAACAGUAUCUCCGCCUCGCAUCGGGCCACUUCACACA